rnacentral:rRNA from 1 species
GCAACGAGCGCAACCCUUGCCUCCUGUUGCCAUCAGGUAAUGCUGGGCACUCUGGAGAGACUGCCGGUGAUAAACCGGAGGAAGGUGGGGAUGACGUCAAGUCCUCAUGGCCUCUAUGCCCCGGGCUACACACGUGCUACAAUGGCUGGUACAAAGGGUUGCAAAACCGCGAGGUGGAGCU